rnacentral:sRNA from 1 species
ACCCAAACUCAACAUCUCCUCCACACGCAUCCACCCCACUCUCUUCGUAGGUCUAGUGAAUCGCGAUGUUCUUUCUAUCUAUCUGUUCUCUUCGUUCUACAAACUGUUGGUUCUUGUCUUCUUGAGUAGCCAUUCCUUGCGGAUGCAGAUCCCAGGUAGAAUCAGUUCGGUAGCUUCUUCUGUUCACUGGCCAUCAUUUCCUUUGAUUUCUUCUGUUUCUUAGAGUCUGUCCCAUCUUCUGGAUCUGAGUUGGAAGCUUCCAUCUACCUAGCCAUGGUAUUUUAUGCAACAUAUACGGCGUGGAUCGGAACUGCCCAAGGGAACGAGUGAAGCUGCCAGCAUGAUCUAGCUCUGAGUGAUCACCCGAAAAAGAACAAUAGUUCUAGGUGGUCAUGCCUUGCUAGGUCAUGCUGCUGCAGCCUCACUUCUUCCCGUCGUUGGGCAUAACAUGGUGGCUGUGUUAGCUUGGUAAAGCAGGUAGUACCAACAACUUCCAUAUACUUUUGAAAGUUCAAUUCUGAUCUUAGACCACUUGAUUUUUUUUGUUGAUUCUGAUUGAUAGAUUCACUGCUCAGUCGGUUUACUAGAUGUUUUGCUGCUGGUGUUUGCUCUGAAUGGUAGGUGGUUUUGUCGAAUGAGCAUUUUUUUAUUUCAUUUCAAAUCUGUUGUUAACCAUUGACCUUGACUCGCGGUAGCAAGGACACGGGCAUAGUGACAUUCUCUACCGAGUCCGAAACGAGGGUAACAUCAUAAAAUGGUGAAUGCGCCCUCGUUCCAUAUUCCUGCUGCACGCUUGUUCCCAGUGCAAGUUUCUGAUCGAUAGCUGACUGCGCUUGUGGUACUCUCAUGCAGUCAUGCUUCAUUCAAUUCAUUAUAGAGCAUUGAACUGAUAAGGUCAAUCAUUUGCUUAUUUUUUGGUUGCACUCUCACUCCGUUGCUGCAUGAUUGUUGAUCGACUGUUUGUUAGCAGACGCUCUACUAGCUUUGCUGCUUUGGCAUGUGACUGCAUAUUGUCGUUGCUAUCCACUCUACAUGUUCCGUGAGAGCAAGAGCAGAUGAUUCCUUAUUAGUAGAGCCCGCACAUCACUUCUUUAUUUUGUUUUAUAUAAAUAAACCCUGCACUAAAUUCACAGAAUGCCUAUCUCGGAUAAAACUAGCACUAGCAAAUGGAAAUCCACUAUAUGCCAGUAAUAGUGAAAUCAUCUUAACCUAAUAGUACGUUGAGAAAAGAAAACUGAGCUGGGAAAAACUAGUUUCCCUUUUCUGCGAGUGCAAAGAAUCAAUACAAAAAUUUUGAAUUAUGCCCUUUGCAUCUGGGCUGGAAUACUGGUGUCAACCACCAACGUUUCUGCUACUUCAUUACUAUUCAUCUUCUUCCUUUGCGGUCCUGGACAGAUACAGAAAUACUUCUCACAUCUACCAUGUUUAAUACUGUUACCGUUUAUUUAUUCGCUCACUUUUAUGCUGUGGAUAGUGACCUGAGAACUCUGCCUCAAUGUUGCUCAUGGCUGUCAUGAUCGCAUGGUGGAGAACCUGGCUAGUUUUUUGUUCUUCAAUUCGGCUCUAAUUAAAGUUCACACUUACUAUUUGUAUGUAUAUACAUCCCAGUUUUUCCUUUCGUGGUCAAGAGUAAUGCCAGACUAUUUAAAAGGCGAGGUGAACUAGUUUAAAAGUUUUUAAAAACACAUUAUACAUUGUACUUGCAUAUUCCAGAUGUGUGUAUGUAUGUAUGUGCUGCGAAAAAAAUAUGGUGCCGCAAUGAAGUGUGAAACUUGGGGAGCAUGGGUAGGCGCUGCUUGUACUGACUAGGUAGGCGAAUAUACAAUGUCGCUGCUGAUGUGACCCAAACGUCUGAAUGCAUGCACUGAUUAAGUCGUGGUCAGGCCCUUCAAUUUCUGGGCAGGAGACAGACGCUUCUGGUCUACCAGUGCACGGAUUUGCUGCCGCUACAUUUCAGACAUUUCACGGAUGCGAAAAUGUACUGCCUUUGUGCUACUUCUGUGGCUUGAUUGCGAGGUUUUGUCUAAAUUGUGUCCUGUGCUAAUGUUUAUACGAUCCAAACAAGCUUCUACUCUA